rnacentral:rRNA from 1 species
GACGAACGCUGGCGGCGUGCUUAACACAUGCAAGUCGAACGGAAAGGCCCUGCUUUUGUGGGGUGCUCGAGUGGCGAACGGGGGAGUAACACGUGAGUAACCUGCCCUUGACUUUGGGAUAACUUCAGGAAACUGGGGCUAAUACCGGAUAGGAGCUCCUGUUGCAUGGUGGGGGUUGGAUAGUUUCGGCGGUUGGGGAUGGACUCGCGGUUUAUCAGUUUGUUGGUGGGGUAGUGGCUUACCAAGGCUUUGACGGGUCGGCGGCCUGAGAGGGUGGCCGGCCACAAUGGGACUAAGAUACGGCCCAGACUCGUACGGGAGGCAGCAGUGGGGAAUAUUGCACAAUGGGCGCAAGCCUGAUGCGGCAGCGCCGCGUGCGGGAUGCCGGACUGCGGGUUGUAAACCGCUUUCGCCUGUGACGAAGCGUGAGUGACGGUAAUGGGUAAAGAAGCACCGGCUAACUACGUG